UCUAUAAUCUACUUAAAGUACCUUUUAACAAAGAAGAAAAAAAAAAUCAAAAACAAUCAAAGAGAAAAUACUUGCUCUAGUAUCAUUUCAAGCAAAACUUUUUUCAACUUUAAUUAUCAUAUAAAACUAUCAUUAUGUAGAAGAGAUCCUAAAAAAUCUUAUUUGUAAAAAAACAAUUGUGUAUUGUGACAAUAGGGAGUCCAAGCUCUCUUUUUUUUAUCUUUUUAUAAUAAUAUUAUUAGAGAAUUAUCUAAUAUAGUAAUUAAAAAUAAAGAUAAUAUUACAAAAAUAAUUCUUUACAAACACUUCACACAAUAUUGAAGAGGAACUCACCUAGUUACAUCUCUAGCUAAGUUGAUACUUAUCAACAAACUUCCAAAAUGUAUGACUUUUCUUCUAAUUGAUCUUGAAUUAAAUGUUUCUAAUAGGGAUUUAAGAUUUAAGAAUAAAAGAUUCAAUGUUCUAUCUACCUCCUCUUAUCCACAUCUACAAGAAAGAUGGAGACAUAUCUUUUUUGCAUCUUCUUCUUAGAUUAUAUCCUUCAACUCCUAACUCCUACUCUUUC
rnacentral:lncRNA from 1 species